rnacentral:rRNA from 1 species
UACGUAGGGUGCAAGCGUUGUCCGGAAUUAUUGGGCGUAAGGAGCUCGUAGGCGGUUUGUUGCGUCGGCUGUGAAAUCCCGAGGCUCAACCUCGGGUCUGCAGUCGAUGCGAGCAAACUAGAGUGUUGCAGGGGAGACUGGAAUUCCUGGUGUAGCGGUGAAAUGCGCAGAUAUCAGGAAGAACACCCGUGGCGAAGGCGGUUCUCUGGAACGCAACUGACGCUGAGACGCGAAAGCGUGGGGGAGCAAACAGG